GGCCCGGUGGCGGAUGGUCCGCGUCUGUAUUAUGCCAUGGCGCCGUGAAAACCUGCUUGCAUCAAGCAGAACCUGCUCGUUCGAUUCGAGCCCGGGCCC